ensembl:lncRNA
GGAAGGCUGCCCUGAGCUCACAUCCGUGCCCAUCUUCCUCCACUUUAUAUGCGGGACGCCUGCCACAGCAUGGCUUGCCAAGCGAUGCCAUGUCUGCACCAGGACCCGAACUGGCGAACCCAGGGCCACCAAAGUGGAACGUGUGAACUUAACUGCUGUGCCACCGGGCCGGCCCCUCAGAGCCAUAGCAUCUGCCUCCAGUGCAGACAGAUAGUCACCAAAGAGCCACCUUCAUGCUGGUAAAACUGCUUGCUGACUGCUCAGGGCAUAUUGCAGAAGAAGAGGACAAAUGAGAUUGUAAGAACCAGCCAUGAGGGACAGAAUGUUGGAGGAGAUCAUUGAGAGGGCAUGACUGCUGGUUGACCUCAAAGCUGGACCCAGGUAAUCAGAGGCUCCUCACCCACCCCUGUCCUUGGAAUAUGCAUUCCACUUGUCUUUCCUGCAUUAGAAACUGCCCAAGGAUGCAGCCUUGAGAUAGUAAUGUGUCUUUGAGACUAUCUGGAUGGUAUAUGUGACUGAGUUUAGGCCUCUAUAUAAACUUUUAAGAUUCUGGUGGUUGGGUGCAGAGAUCUACUCAUCUUGUAGCUGCCCAGGACAAGCCUCGUAAGUAAGUUCCCUUGCUUAUUACAACUGUCUCUUACCAAUCUAGAGUGGCUUACCUCUUUCUUUGGUCACUCCUUGCCCUCCAUGUAAGGGGCCAGUCUGCAAACCAACAGGGGAUAUCCUCACUUUGUUCCUGAUCUUGGUAAGAGAGCUUCUACUUUCUCACCAUUGAGUAUGAUAUAGGCUGCAGGUCUUUUGUAGAUGUUCUUUAUCAGGUUAAGGAAGCUUCCCAUCUAAUCCUAGUUUGCUGAAAGUUUUUGCCAUUAAUGGGUAUUGGAUUUCGUCAAAGGCUUUUCUGUAUGUAUUGGUAUGAUCAUGUGAUUUUUUUUCCUUUAGUCUGUUGAUGUAAUAGAUUAUAUUAAUUGAUUUUUGGGUGUUGAACCAGCCUUAGAGAUCUGGGAUAAAUUCCACUUGAUUUAUGGUGUAUAAUUCUUUUUAUACAUUGUUGGGUUCAAUUUGCUAAUAUUUUGUUGAGUAUUUUUGCAUCUAUAUUCAUGAAAGAUAUUAGUUUGUAAUUUUCUUGUAUUGUCUUUGUCUGAUUUUUGUAUUGGAGUAAUUCUAGCUUCAUAAAAUAAGUUAGGAAGUAUUCCCUCUGUUUCCAAUUUUUGGACAAGAUUGUAGAGUACUGGUAUGAUUUCUUCCUUAAAUAUUUGGAAGAAAUCACCAGUGAACCCAUCUGAACCUGGUGCUUUUUCUAUUCUGGAAGGUUAUUAAUUAUUGGUUCAAUUUCUUUAAUAAAUAUAGGCCUAUUCCAAUUGUUUAUUUCUUCUGUUAUUGGUUUUCACAGAUUAUAUUUUUCAAAAAAAUGGUCUAUUUCAUCUGGGUUAUCACAUGUGUGGGCAUAGAGUUAUUUAUAGUAUACCUAUGUUAACCUUUUCACAUCUGUGGGAUCUGUAGUGAUGUUCCCUCUUUCAUUUCUAACACUAGAAAUUUGUGUUUUCUCUCUUUUUUUCUUAAUCAGCCUGGCUAGAGGUUUAUUGAUUUUAUUAUCUUUUCAAAGAAUCAGCUUUCGGUUUUGCUGAUUAUCUCUAGUGAUUUCCUGUUUUCAAUUUCAUUGAUUUCUACUCAAGUUUUUAUUAUUUACUUUCUUUUCCUUACUUUGGACUUAUUUUCUCUUCUUUUUCUAGUUCCCUAAGGUGGAAUCUUAGAUUACUGAUUUUAUAUCUUUCUUCUUCUCUAACAUAUGCAUUAAAUGCUAUUAAUUUCCCUAUGAGUACUACUUUUGCUGCAUUUCACAGAUUUUGUUAAGUUGUAUUUUCAUUUUAAUUUACUUCAAAACAUUUCUUAAUUUCUCUUGAGGUUUCUUAUUUGACCCUGUG